AGAAAAUUUGGCAAUGGAAUCUGCCCGAAACCGCCCAAAAGGCUGAUGAUACCUACCUAACU
rnacentral:ncRNA from 2 species